GAGGGUAUAGCUCAGUGAUAAGGGUGCACGCUUAGCAUGCACGAGGUCCUGGGUUCAAUCCCAGUGCCUCCA
rnacentral:tRNA from 1 species